UACGGUCGCAAGAUUAAAACUCAAAGGAAUUGACGGGGACCCGCACAAGCGGUGGAUGAUGUGGAUUAAUUCGAUGCAACGCGAAAAACCUUACCUACCCUUGACAUGGAUGGAAUCCCGGAGAGAUUUGGGAGUGCUCGAAAGAGAACCAUUACACAGGUGCUGCAUGGCUGUCGUCAGCUCGUGUCGUGAGAUGUUGGGUUAAGUCCCGCAACGAGCGCAACCCUUGUCAUUAGUUGCUACGAAAGGGCACUC
rnacentral:rRNA from 2 species